AAGCUGCGGCGUCUUCCCUGGAAUGUUGACGACGUCAAAGGAAAACCUUAAAGACGUCUCCAGGAAAACAAGAAGAUAAUGUUGUUUGUGGGGAAUUCCCUAAAGAGAGUUAGAGACGGCAGAAACGAGCUUGCAUAGGAGGCUGUGCAUGAAGUGUGUUUGCUGAGUUCAAACUCCAAACAAAAGAAGACAAAGAUGAUAAGAGAGAUGGCAGAAACGAGCUUCUAUAGGAGGAUGUGCAUGAAGUGUUUGCUGUGUUCAAACUCCAAACAAAAGAAGACGAUUUAACAUUCACAAUGUCUGUGUGUGACGGCCUACAUGUAACCUGUGAUGAAGAUGACUAAUAGGUGAGAAGACUGAAGUCCCCUGACCUGAGCAUGACUCCGCCCAUCCUGAUGGCUCUCUUCCAGUCUUUCAGAGUGGCCUUUCCAGAGAUGUGCACAAACUGCUUGGGGCUGAUGAGCUGGUCUUCAUACUGGAGCAGAGAGUGUGGGUUCAGUGACUGUGACCGAGAAUGAACAGACAAACCAGCAUUUCAUGCUUUGAGUUGGAGCUUUACUGCAUAAAUGAAGGCGAACAACAACCUUUCUGGCAUCUGUAGGCCACCGUAGCUUCCCUAAACUGUUGAGAGGUGAAAUGAUGAGAGUGUUCACUAUUAUUUACAGUAGUACAGUCAUUAUGGGGUGGCAGGCAAAGCAAACGUGGACAG